rnacentral:ncRNA from 1 species
GCGUCCUGCCUCGUGAUCGUCUUCUCACCCUUCACGGCGGCAGGCGGAGUGAAGGAGCGGCCCCGCGAGGACAUGACUCGUGGGGCCGCUCC